rfam:Triticum aestivum genome assembly, contig: Triticum_aestivum_CS42_TGACv1_scaffold_327843_4BS
UUUGUACUCCCUCCGUCCCAAAAUUCUUGUCUUAAAUUUGUCUAAAUACGGAUGUAUCUAGUUACAUUUUAGUGUUAGAUACAUCUGUAUCUAAACAAAUGUAAGACAAGAAUUUUGGGACGGAGGGAGUACUAC